UCUUAUCGAGAGAGGCGGAGGGACUGGCCCUAUGAAGCCCGGCAACCUGAGAAAUCAAGGUGCUAAUUCCAGCAGCUUAGGCUGAAAGAUGAG
rnacentral:ncRNA from 1 species